rnacentral:rRNA from 1 species
GACGAACGCUGGCGGCGUGCUUAACACAUGCAAGUCGAACGGAAAGGCCCUGCUUUUGUGGGGUGCUCGAGUGGCGAACGGGUGAGUAACACGCGAGUAACCUGCCCUUGACUUUGGGAUAACUUCAGGAAACUGGGGCUAAUACCGGAUAGGAGCUCCUGCUGCAUGGUGGGGGUUGGAAAGUUUCGGCGGUUGGGGAUGGACUCGCGGCUUAUCAGCUUGUUGGUGGGGUAGUGGCUUACCAAGGCUUUGACGGGUAGCCGGCCUGAGAGGGUGACCGGCCACAUUGGGACUGAGAUACGGCCCAGACUCCUACGGGAGGCAGCAGUGGGGAAUAUUGCACAGUGGGCGGAAGCCUGAUGCAGCAACGCCGCGUGCGGGAUGACGGCCUUCGGGUUGUAAACCACUUUCGCCUGUGACGAAGCGUGAGUGACGGUAAUGGGUAAAGAAGCACCGGCUAACUACGUG